AAUAGGCCACGAAGGCUCAAUUAUUGUGAGAACUUCCAAAUAUCCAUUUUUAGAUUUUACUCUUUUUGCUAUGUCUUCAACAAAUGAAUAUGGUUCAAUAUUAUCUAACUCCUCUUGGUUAAAUUUUCGCUUUCCCAUUAUCGUCUCAGACAUGUUUGUGUCGAAUAUAUCUCUAUUGACUCAGCGACGCCAACUUCUUUUUUUGUGACCCAAUUGUUGGGCCCCUAUUAAAUUGGUAAACCCCUCCAGCUCAGAGUUUCAUUCACAUUGGUUCUUGUUAGACUUAUCUUCCACGUCUAUAGGCGUAAUUUGAAGAGAUAAAUUAGCUUUGAUAUCCAUAUAAUUUUGCCUCAUUUUCACAAUUUCCAAGAAAGUAGAAUUCUUCUCUGAGUAACCUUCAUUUGCUGUCUGAUGUAUUUGUUUCAUAGAUUCUGGUGAAAAACCUUCAUCUCUACUCGUUGCUUCCACACUUGUGUAAUAACAUUGUUUCAUUGUUCUUUUCAUUAAAUAACCAAACAAUAAACUUUUUUCCUAUUAUGGGUGAUUUAGCCUUGAGCGCUAACGAAUAAGGUAAACCAUCUUCCGCCUUAACUCGAUCUCCAGACGGUAUCUUCGUACAAUCCUUAACCCCAUGAAUCAAUCGGCCACACCCAAAACAAAAAGUCGGGAGAUUCUCAUAUUUGAAAGAAAGCUAGAUUUUUCCUUGUCCAUUCGGAGAAACAAAAAUACCUCUUUGUAACGGUUUUUGAACAUCCAAAUUAACUCUGAUUCGACAAAACUCACCUUUAAUCUCUGAUUGAAUUACACCCCUAAAAGUGGAUCCAACAACAUGCAUCAAGUCUUUCUUAUCACAUUCGGGUGGACACGGGCCAAACUUAAGCCAAAACGGAGAAUAAACUAGUUGAAUCUUGUUCAGCUCAACCGACUUCAGUAGCCAGUCGAAAAUAAUUAAUUGUUUUCGAAAAAGCCAUAAACGCCCUUCCAUAAUAUGCUCUAAAUUAUCCUCAUCUUCAAAAGAUAUUAUGAACAAGUCCUGCCCUGCAACUAGGAUCUCAAACUUCUUUUUUGUUUUCCAGAUGCUUCUCAAUUAUGCUCUCAGACUGUUCGGAUUGUAGGUUUUCCUUGUCCAAACAGAGCCGAUUAGCGCCGGAUUUUCAGAUGGAACUACUAAUAAACUUUUCACCGUUAGCUGGAUGAACUCAUCUUCGAGGAGGGCUUACUCAUUCUCAUCUUCCAUAGCCCCGAAGUCACCACUCGUCU
rnacentral:lncRNA from 1 species